rnacentral:rRNA from 1 species
UCAUUUCCAAGACUAUGUUUUUAUAUACACCAAAGUAUGUUUAAAGAAUGUCAUCAAUAGGAACUUGUUUCCUAUAUAAUUAUACAACUUUCAGCAACGGAUCUCUUGGCUCUCGCAUCGAUGAAGAACGCAGCGAAAUGCGAUAAGUAAUGUGAAUUGCAGAAUUCAGUGAAUCAUCGAAUCUUUGAACGCACCUUGCGCUCCUUGGUAUUCCGAGGAGCAUGCCUGUUUGAGUGUCAUUAAAUUCUCAACCUUCCAGCUUUUUAUAAGCCUGGUUAGGCUUGGAUGUGGGGGUUGUGGGCUUCAUUAAUGAGGUCAGCUCUCCUUAAAUGCAUUAGCGGAACUUUUGUGGACCGUCUAUUGGUGUGAUAAUUAUCUACGCCGUGGAUGUGAAGCAGAUUUAUGAAGUUCAGCUUCUAACCGUCCAUUGACUUGGACAUUUUUGACAAUUUGACCUCAAAUCAGGUAGGACUACCCGCUGAACUUAAGCAUAUCAAUAAGCGGAGGAAAAGAAACUAACAAGGAUUCCCCUAGUAACUGCGAGUGAAGCGGGAAAAGCUCAAAUUUAAAAUCUGGCAGUCUUUGGCUGU